rnacentral:lncRNA from 10 species
GAUCGCACAAGUGGCUGCAACCAGGCUCUAGGAGGGAGAAAGAGCGGAUCCCCCAACCCCCUCCGCCCGCCCGCCCCCCGCGAGACGCGGCGCCGCGCAGGGUCCUAGUGCCCGCUGUGCGAAGGGUUCCUGAAUCUGGCCACUUCGCUGGGAGGCCCUGGGCUCCCCAGUGCCACCCGAAGGGCCUGAGGAGGCCAUCUGCAGGAUCAUUCUGGCUGCUGGGCGAAGGUUCAACUAAAGAAUGGCAAGAGUAGAAGCUGGAAAUCUAAUUAGGAGGCUCCUGCAGACCCCAAGCUGGGGGGUGAUGACAGCCAGACUAGAGUGGUGGCAGUUGUCUGAUUCCAGUUAGGUUUUGAAAGUGAAACCAUCAGGACCCACUGAUGGAUCGGAUGUGACACGUGACCAUAAGAGUGAAGUCAAGGAGAAAUCCUGGCAAUUCACACACUGCUGGUGGGAGUGUAGUUAGGCAAAAACUACUUUGGGAAACUAUU